CAAACACACACAGAUCCCCAAUUCCACACCAUUUCUCUUUACAAAAUUUUCCCUCCAUCUCUCUUUCCCUCCAUAUCUCUCUCUCUCUCUCUAUCCAAACAUAGGCUAAAAGCUCUCCUCUCUAACGCCUCAGCGAGAGAAAGAUUUAAUAAGGUGGAUGCCACUGAGAUGGUCUGGGCCAUGGGGUAUUUUGAUAUAGCUGCUCUAACUGUUAUGCUAUUCUCAUGUGCUCUCGCAAAUGCGCUCUAGUUACCUAUAUCACAUGCCUCUUGU